ACUGUCGGAUACGUCCCCUAGACAAUCCUGAUGAUCCUACUUGUAUCAAAGCUCUCGACAAUGCAGUUGUCCAACUUCUACCUCCACAGAACACAGAAAGGGUGACAAGGAAUGGGCAAGUGAAGGAGUACCAGUACACAUUUCAGUAUGUGUUUGAUGAGUAUGCAUCACAGAAAAAAAUAUUUGACUAUGUGGCGAUGCCACUGGUGGACGACC